GGUUUCCGUAGGUGAACCUGCGGAGGWCAUUA
rnacentral:rRNA from 3 species